AUGAAUGAUAUUGCAAGCCCGGGCCCUGACGGUUUUGGCCCCGCCUUCUAUAAGAAGAAUUGGGACCUCGUCAAACCGGAUCUUUUGAACCUUCUCUAUGAUUUCCAUUGCGGCAACGCCGAUCUCAAGAGGAUUAACAAAGCUUUCAUUGUGUUUCUUCCCAAGAAGAUUGGCUCCGAUGACCCUGCAAACUUUCGCCAAAUCUCCCUUCAAAAUUGCUCUGUUAAGCUUGCUUCUAAAUGCCUCACGAACAGGGCCCAGACUAUUUUCCCGCACCUCAUCCAUCACGACCAGACUGGGUUUAUCCGUGGCCGUGGCAUCGCCCAAAAUUUCAUCUAUGCGGCCAACAUUGUUCAGUCCUGUCACAAGAGAAAAAUUCCGGCCAUAGUCCUUAAGUUAGACUUCCACAAAGCUUUCGACUCAGUGUCUUGGUAUGCCCUCUCCUCAAUCUUACGCGCCAAAGGGUUCCCCCCCAAGUGGUGCCAAUGGAUCCAAAGUCUUAACUCUUCCAGCAGCUCCUCCAUUCUGCUUAAUGGCAAACCUGGGCCU
rnacentral:rRNA from 1 species